rnacentral:misc_RNA from 1 species
UCCCCGUUUUCCGGGGCAGUCCCUGUAGAGUUCCCGGCAUGACCCGAUGGCAACUACAGGCAAGGGUUGCGCUCGUUGCGGGACUUAACCCAACAUCUCACGACACGAGCUGACGACAGCCAUGCAGCACCUGUGUUCCGGCCAGCCGAACUGAAGAAUGGGGUCUCCCCCACCCAUACCGGACAUGUCAAGGGCUGGUAAGGUUCUUCGCGUUGCGUCGAAUUAAACCACAUGCUCCACCGCUUGUGCGGGUCCCCGUCAAUUCCUUUGAGUUUUAACCUUGCGGCCGUACUCCCCAGGCGGGGCACUUAAUGCGUUAGCUUCGGCACUGCAGGGGUCGAUACCCGCAACACCAAGUGCCCAUCGUUUACAGCGUGGACUAC